AGUGAACGCUGGCGGUAGGCCUAACACAUGCAAGUCGAACGGCAGCACAGUAAGAGCUUGCUCUUACGGGUGGCGAGUGGCGGACGGGUGAGGAAUACAUCGGAAUCUACUUUUUCGUGGGGGAUAACGUAGGGAAACUUACGCUAAUACCGCAUACGACCUACGGGUGAAAGCAGGGGAUCUUCGGACCUUGCGCGAUUGAAUGAGCCGAUGUCGGAUUAGCUAGUUGGCGGGGUAAAGGCCCACCAAGGCGACGAUCCGUAGCUGGUCUGAGAGGAUGAUCAGCCACACUGGAACUGGGACACGGUCCAGACUCCUACGGGAGGCAGCAGUGGGGAAUAUUGGACAAUGGGCGCAAGCCUGAUCCAGCCAUACCGCGUGGGUGUAGAAGGCCUUCGGGUUGUAAAGCCCUUUUGUUGGGAAAGAAAAGCAGCAGGUUAAUACCCCGCUGUUCUGACGGUACCCAAAGAAUAAGCACCGGCUAACUUCGUG
rnacentral:rRNA from 1 species